rnacentral:rRNA from 1 species
UACGGGGGGGGGCAAGCGUUGUUCGGAAUUACUGGGCGUAAAGGGUGCGUAGGCGGCUUUCUAAGUUGGAUGUGAAAACUCUGGGCUCAACCCAGAGACUGCAUCCAAAACUGGAGAGCUUGGGUUCUGGAGGGGAAAGCGGAAUUCCUGGUGUAGCGGUGGAAAUGACGUAGAUAUCAGGAGGAACACCGGUGGCGAAGGCGGCUUUCUGGACAGAUACCGACGCUGAGGCACGAAAGCUAGGGGAGCAAACAGG